rnacentral:rRNA from 1 species
CCUACGGGUGGCAGCAGUGGGGAAUAUUGGGCAAUGGGCGAAAGCCUGACCCAGCAAUGCCGCGUGAAUGAAGAAGGUCUUAGGAUUGUAACAUUCUGUCCUAUGGGAAGAAAAAAAUGACGGUACCAUAGGAGGAAGCCCCGGCUAACUACGUGCCAGCAGCCGCGGUAAUACGUAGGGGGCGAGCGUUGUCCGGAAUUACUGGGCGUAAAGAGAGCGUAGGCGGCUGGGCAAGUUAAGUGUGAAAGCCUGCGGCUUAACCGCAGAAUUGCACUUAAAACGGACUCGCUAGAGUGCAGGAGAGGUGAGCGGAAUUCCUAGUGUAGCGGUGGAAUGCGUAGAUAUUAGGAGGAACACCAGAGGCGAAGGCGGCUCACUGGACUGUAACUGACGUUGAGGCUCGAAAGCGUGGGGAGCAAACAGGAUUAGAUACCCGGGUAGUC